GCCGGUGAGGAUCUCCACAAGCUCACGGCCGGAAACCUCGACAAGCUGGCACAGUUUCUUCAAGGAUUGGAAUCUGAAUGCUUUGGAUAAAAGGCUGCCAGCGAGAAUUUGGAGGGAAAAGCCUUUCUGCAAGUGCACAAGAGCGUCCUCAACUCCAAGGCCAGUGAGGACUCUCUGGUGUUGUGUGUUCUGGAAGAUGGAAGAGGAAGAAAACCUAUUUUUGUUGAACU